rnacentral:rRNA from 1 species
CCUACGGGUGACAGCAGUGAGGAAUAUUGGUCAAUGGGCGCGAGCCUGAACCAGCCAAGUCGCGUGAGGGAUGAAGGUUCUAUGGAUCGUAAACCUCUUUUAUCAGGGAAUACAGUGUGGGACGUGUCCUAUUUUGUAUGUACCUUAUGAAUAAGCAUCGGCUAACUCCGUGCCAGCAGCCGCGGUAAUACGGAGGAUCCGAGCGUUAUCCGGAUUUAUUGGGUUUAAAGGGUGCGUAGGCGGCCCUUUAAGUCAGCGGUGAAAGUUUGUGGCUCAACCAUAGAAUUGCCGUUGAAACUGGGGGGCUUGAGUAUGUUUGAGGCAGGCGGAAUGAGUGGUGUAGCGGUGAAAUGCUUAGAGAUCAGGCAGAACCCCGAUUGCGAAGGCAGCCUGACAAGCCAUGAAUGACGCUGAUGCACGAAAGCGUGGGGAUCAAACAGGAUUAGAGA